AUUGCAUUUCAUUUCUUAUCUAUUGAAUUUUUUAAUUUGCAAAAAACAUCGUAAUGCAAUGUAGAAUUCUAUCGACGCCAAUCGACAAGAAAGCGCUUAGAAAAGAUAAACCACGCGACCCAUGGAUCGAUAAAACGAUGCGAUAAUCGAGCAAGUGUAAUUGUUUCAUCGAGGUCCGAUAUCGUCGAUAAAAUCGUUCAAAUCGUACAGUUCGUUUACGCGUAACAAACGCAACGUAAUAUAUUUUAAUUCUUAAAAAAUAUUUAAUAAUUAAAAUCUUUCCAACAAUCAAAUCUUUUCGUGAGAAUAUCAAGCUAUGAGUCAGCGCAAGAAAAAUGAGAAUUGAGCGUGUCACAGGAUGAUGACAAUUUCCUUUAUCGGGAAAUAAAACAUUUUUCUUUCGAUGACACUCACGAGUUGUAAGAUGCAUAUUGUCAAUAGGAAAUGCCUUCGAUUACAAAUUCCCAUGUCAUUUGGCCAGACGGAUGUUUUAGCGUGCGAGGCCACGGUUUCUUUGGUCACUUGAUACGAACGAUCUCGUUACGCGUUAACUGCAUCACUGUGGCAUGUUCUAAUGCGCCGCCAUAUUCCCACGACACUUGUUCCGUCCCUUUCUCACGGCUGACUGGUGCAAGUGACAUGCACCAUACUGCACAGUGCUGCUCACAGUAACGGUGACAAAGAUAAUAACGAUGUAGCGGCAAUUUCAAAUUCAAAAUAAAAAUUUAAUUGUUCUUUUCAAGCUGGAUGUUAAAAAUAAAAAAAAUCAAAUUGUCAAAAAUCAAAUAUUAAAA